CACGACUGCUCAGCAGAGACGUCCACAUCACCUCUAGAUCUCACAGUGCUCACUUUGCUGUCUGUGACACCAGUUUUGUUUUGGUUCUGACAAACAAGCUGCAGAAAGGAUGAAGGCUGUUAUGAUCUUUCUGCUGUUGACGCUCGUCGUCAUAAUGGCUGAACCCGGGGAGAGCAGUCCUGGAGUUGAAAUUAUGCCGCCCUGGUGCCGUCCACCGGUAGGAUGCAGCGUGAGCAGGGGAAAAGUAUCGGGUGAACGGAACACCAAUAAACUGAGGCGAUACUAUGAAGACUGAUUCUGUUCUUGAUUUUGAAGAUAUAGUUUGAGCUAUAUCUUUGUGCUUUGCAAAGUAACAAAUAAUUGGAUGAGUAAACAUGAAGCUCUUGAGAUGUAGUGAUUUUAGUCACAGCUCCAAUUGAUGUUAAAAACAAGUAAAACUGCUUGAUAGUGAAAACUAUCCUGCUGAAUAAAGCUGCAUUCCAAAAGAC